CAUGCACAUGCCCUGACCCACUGAAGUGGCUCCUGUGACCAACUGCAGAGGCCCCUUACACGCCACCAAUGCAGGCCCACCCCUCACGCUUGUCCUGUCCUGCCCAGGUGGACCCACUCACCCAGCUGCAGAGUUUCCAGGCACCCCACCUAUGUCAGCCCACAAAUUGGCCCAGGACUUGCUGUUAGAUGGGGCUAGUCCCUAGAGCAGGCUGCCUUCCCUGGCUGAGCAGCCAUGUGCUCUAGUGGGUGACAUAGACCCCUGUGCUAACAGGCCAGGGGAAGACCUCCAAUAGCAUCUGCCAGUGUCUGUGUCAGCACUCCUGUACUAAGUCACAAUAAUGGCUGCCACCAAUGUCUUAGUCCAUGGGGAGGUCUCAUCUCUCACCAAGAUUCAUCCAGAGCCUAUCAGAGCCUGAAUCUAGAGAAUCUAAAAUGCCGUGCAUCCUAAGAAGCAUGUAAUGGUAAACACAUUCAUCCUAGUAGCACUCCCCAAGUUAAGAAAAAUUCUGCAUAUACACGGAAGUAAGAGAAGGGAGAACAGGGAAGCACAGAGGUGAAUACGGAGGGUAGGGGGCACUUAGAGAUUCGGGAGUUAAGGAAAUUUUGUUCACUUUAGUAUAAUGCUUUCAUUUUCCUCAUAAUCUGAAAUCUGAGUGUCUUUUUUAGAGCCAAUCAGGUUUCUUUCCUCCUUACACUCUUACUGUUUUCUUCAAACAAUAGGGUGCAACAGUUUAGAGAUUCCUGAAACCUAUCACCUUUUUAUUAACAACCCAAAACAGCAAAACUAGAAAAUGGAAGGCAUUAGGAGUUUGGAACUUGAGUGUAAUGUGAGACUAUAUGUACACAAGUUAUUCUGGUCACCCUAUAUAUUUUGCCCUAUUCCUAAACAAGCUUAAAACGCCAAUAGAAGAGAAUGAGGAUGCGCAAAUUAGGUAAAAGACAACAGAGACAAGGAGAAACAAAGAUAUUAAAAAAGAGUGACUGUUUAGAUGGCAAUCUUUGUAUUUCCAACUGAACAGGAAACUAUCAAGUACUUUAACAUACGUAAGAAUUAGAAGAUCCAUUCUUUUUCUUUCUUUCAUCAAAGAGUUUGUAAACUAUUUAGUGGUUUACAAGAAAUCACUUUGAGUACUUUUAUAUCUGUGCAUGACAGAUUUUUAUAUCCUUCCAGAUAUUUCCUUCACUUCUUUGGAAGAGAUAGUGAUUCUUUAUUUCUAUGCUAAUAUGCUGUUCUUAAUAUCCUGUUUAUGCUCCUCAGAUCACUGAAAGUUCUUAGUCUGUGAUUUGUUAUUUAUGUAAUGUGGAGCAUAUGUGUUUAACUAAAGCCAUAAUUUUAAUCUUUAUGUUGCAUAAUUAUAACGCAGUUUUGGUUUAAUAAACCAUAAAAUCUUGCAUAGCAUAAGGUAUAGGCAUAUUUUAGCAAAAUAUACUUGUGAAUCUUCACUGAACAUUCAAAAUAUGAAUUCAAAACUUGCAGUGGGAUUGCAGCUCUACUGAAAUGAACUCAGAUAUAUGCAAAAAAAUUCUUUUUUCUUUCCUCCAGAGCUGAGCUGAUCUCUUUUGUAAGCCAUCACAGAGCUCUGUAGUGGAGAAAUGUGUCCUUGCCAUUUUAAAUAAUCUUUUGAUUAAACAAUUCUUCUUUCACUAUAAAUUAUUCUUUUGGACAACUGGAUAUGUGGUAACUCAGAGUUCCAUCCUUUCUGUCUCUCUAAAAUGGCAGAUACAUAUAUGAAGUGAAUCACAUGACUAGUGAUUGGUACUGACUCUUGCCUGGGAACUUAAAUAGAGGGGUGUGUGCCAGUCAAAACACCUACACCUGGUCUCUGGUCUCUCCACAUUAUCUUUACUUCCUUAAACGUUCAUUGCUGAGUACAAAGUUUAAAUAUUCUAAGAGGGAGAAGAAAGACAGAAGGGGCUCUGCCUUUUUGAAGCCAGCCUUGAAAUUUAUAAAUCGUCAUUUCCCUGACACUGAUUAAUUAGAAGCUAGUCAUUAAGACCAGGUCAUACACAAAAGGAGGGAAAUUAGAAUCCAUCUUUUGGUGGGGAGAAAUGCCAAUGAGUUUGCAGGCAUGUUUUAACAUUAUCAUAAUCUGUCUUAUUCUUCCCACAUGUAAAAUAUACUUACCCCUUUCCCAUGAUCCCAAGAAAGUCUCAUUUAUUAUGGAAUAAUGUUCACCUUAAAGUUCAAUAUUUCAUUGUCUAAAUUAGGUCCGGAGGUGGAUGAGUCUUUUCAUGCACAGUUGCUCCAGUACAGCUCCUCCAGGACAAUUCCCCUGUUUCCGAAGACCUGUGAACUCUAAAAGCGAGUUACCUGCUCCUCCCACAUCCCCCCACCACACACGCAAUUCAGGACAGGGAGACUGGCUGAGGGUAACUGCUAUAGACCUUCCCACUCAAAAAGAAAGGGAAGUAAGGCACACAAAAAUCUCAUAAAUGUCGCAAAUUUGAAAUCCAGCCAAGACCAUGCUGCCAGUUUCUUGAUAUGGGUUCAAGCUUAUGGCCUGUGAAUGAUUCUGGACGGCUCUUGGAUCCACCUUUAAGGUUUUUGAUCCUACUGUCUGAAUUCUCAUUUCUUUUCCAUUAGAAAUAGCAGAAUGGCUUUCUCUCCAUAUCUUGCCCAUACUAGUCGAAUGGUCCAAUAGGCUCUUUUUAUUUUGUUCUGCCUCUGUCCCUCUUAGUCCAAGCUGGCAAUGUUUCUGUCAAUGUAUUUUCUUAAAUUUUUUGCAGGUUUUCUAUGAGUAUUAAUAGUAUUCAUUCCACUACAGAAACAUUAAACUGAGACAUAUUAAAAUGCUGAAGAGUUUCUUUGAGCAAACCUCGAUUUGAAUCAACCAAUGGAAGCCCCUACGGAAAGGUUAGGAGGGCCCCACUGACAGGAGCUAGGGGCAAGAUUUUUAUAUAGAAGAUGUGGAAGCAAAGCAAACAAAUUAUUUUAUUGAUUACAGCUUAAGCAGUCACCUUAUUUGAGAAAGCCUAGUUGGCUGGGAUUGGUUGUUCUUAAUUUUCACUUUCUUGGAUUUGAGACAUUGACUCUGGCUUGUGUUUCUGUUCGGCUAUGUAGGCUAGCAAUGCAUUAGAGCCUCCUGAGUCUAAGGCCCUCCUUGUUUAAUUAUAACUUUAACACUAUCUUUGGCUCCCCGUAAGGUUGGAGGAGAAAGUCCUCAGAAUUUUUAGAGGCUCUAUUAUUUAAAGAAGAGGAUCAGUGUUUAGAGGGACUGUUGUCUGUUUGAAGUACCAUAACAAGUAUUUCUGUGGUCAUAACAGAGGGUGGUAUAGUCGAACUCUUACUGUCUUCUUUAGACUAUAUUUUCCUGACAAUGCCUUAAAUUUGAUCUCAGCUCAGAAAAUAUUUUUAACUUUUUAGAAUCUUUUGCUAACUGUAGACUGUGUGGAUGACAAAUGGCUUUAUUGUCAAACCCUGAAAGUUCUGGGCCCCUUAUGCUAAAAAAAAAAAAUUGUUUUCUUUAUCCUUUCUCUCUUCUUUCAUGUUUUACUAUGAGCAACCAGGAAAAGCCAGAUGACACUUUAACACUCUGUCUGGAAUGUUCUUAAGUAGAUCAUCAGGUUCAUUUUUCCUAUUUUUCAUGUUAACAAAGGUGACGGGAUCGUUAAAGUUUCCAUCUUCCAAUAACAUUUUUCUCACCUUCCUUUCAUCUCCCACCAACAUCCUCCUAAAAUGCCACCAAGCUUCCACCAACAGACUCUGAGGCUUUUUAGGCUCUCACUUACACUCUCCUCGAUGUCCUUCCAGUUUCUCCCACCACCUGGGCCUAAGCCAUUCUCACCUGCUCUAAGAGUUUUACUAUACCAGGAGUAGCACCACUGCUGGUACCCAAAUCUGUUCCAGGUAUGUAUUGGUGUGAAAUAAACUAGUUCAAUAUUCAGUGUAUAGAGAAAAAACAUUUUUUAAUCACAAAUCAGCAAUUUAGACAGAGCUUUGAGAGUACAGCUUAUUUUUGCUUCACUCAGCAUUAGGAGAGGAUCACUAGAUGCCAGAAGUUGGAUGCUGGAAUGAUCUGAAGGCUGAUUUAUUUACAUAUCUCCUGGUGGAUGUUGGCUGUAAAUUGUUAACUAAGAUAGUGCUAUCGGGAAAUAUGACACAUGUCCUCUCCGUGUGGCUCGGGCAGCUCAUACUAUGAUGAUUGGGUUGCCAAGAUGAACAUCCCAAGAGAAAGAAUCAGGCCUUUCCUAACCUAGCAUCAAAAGUCAAGCAGUUUCUCUUGUGCUAACUCUAUUUAUUAGCAGAGGUUCAUAAAAAGUGACCUAUAUUUAAGUGGAAGAGAAUUAAACUGCACUAUUUGAUGAACAAAUAUCAAUGAAUUUGCAGGCAUGUUUUAAAACCACACUCCUAAUUUUGACCAUAAUAUGAUUCUCUCUUUUAUACUUCCAAUCUUGGUUCAUGCUAUGCUAAGUAGCAUAAAGGAUUUAGAAAAAACUUCUGUCCAUUAAAGUUUACCUUUGAGAGACUUCAGAUAUCUCUCUUUUUGCAAUUAAAUUUAAAACUUGACCUAUUCUCUCUUUUUGUGUUUCUGCUGUAGCAAUUAAAAUAACCACAGCACAUUUCCUUCAGAUAAGCAGAUGGUGCUCAGAGAGAUGAGCAUGUAACAGAAAUGAAGGGGAUACGUACACAUUAAUAUAUUUCAAUAUAUAUUUCUCUUGUUACAAUCCAAGCACAACCCUCAAAAAUAUGACAGAAAGGAAAAAAAGUAGGGAUGAAUAAAUGAAUGUCAGAACCUGUGGAUUGAUGUUUUCCUGGGAUCUACAGUUUCCAGAUAGGUGAAGAGUUGGGAUACUAGUGUGAAUCAGAGGAACUGAUUUUAAGACCCUAUUUCAAGAUAUUGUAAAAAUGACAGUAUGAAGCAGGUAAAGGGUUAGAUAUGCAGAUCUUUGAAAUGCAAGAGAAAGUUCAAAAAUAGUCGAAUGCAUAUAGUCAAGGUGUCAAUGUAAUUUUAUGGAGGAAGGACAGUUUUUCAACAAAUGUUGCCAGAACAAUUGGAUAGCCAUAUUGCAAAAAUGAACUUUCAUCUCCUUCAAGUCACACUCACACACAAUGACAGCAGGUAGAAUAUAGAUCUCAAUGUAAAAGCUAAAAGCAUAAGCCCUCUUAAAAAAUAAGUGACUAUAUUUGUGAUAUUGGGUUAGGUGAAGAUUUCUUAUAUGAGAUAGUAAAAGCAUUAACCAUAAAGAAAAAAAUUAGAUCUUAUUAACAUUAAAAACUGCUGGUCAUUAAAAGACUGUGUUAAUAAAACUAAAAGCUAAGCCAUAUUUAUAAUACAUUUAUCUGACAAUCAACUUGUAUUCAGAAUGUGUAAAGAAAACUUACAAAUUUGUAACAAAACAAAAUACAAACACAUUUGUUUAAAACGUGAGCAAAUGAUUUGGAUCUCUCUUUUUCUGUAGCUAUAUAUAUACAAUUUGUGCAUCCACUAAUGUGUUGAUGGACAUUUGUGUUGCUUCCAUCUUCUGAAAUAGCGUUGUUGUGAAUAUGUGUGUACAUCUAUUUGUUUGAGUACCUGUUGCCAAUUAUUUUGCAUAUAUGCCUAGGAGUGGACUUACUGGACCAUAUGAUAAUUCUACGUUUAACAUUUUGAGGAAACCACAAAAUAGCAGAUGAAGCAUUUUAAAGUCUCACAAGCAAUGUGUUAGGGUUCUAGUUUCUCUACGUUCUUACCAACACUUGCUAUUUUCUAAAAAAUUAUAGCAAUCUUAGUGAAUGUGAAGUGAUAUUCCAUUGUGGUUUUUUUCAGCACCCUAAUAACUAAUUAUUUUGAGCAUCUUUGCAUGCACUUAUUGGCUAUUUGUAUAUUUUCUUUGGAGGAAUGUAUAUUCAAGUCCUUUGACCAUUUUUUAAUUGGGAUUUUUGACUUUUUGUUGUUGAGUUGUAAGGAUUCUUUAUAUAUUAUGGAUAUAGGACCUUAUUAGAAAUAUGAUUUGUAAAUAUUUUCUCCCAUUCUGUAGGUUCUUUCUUUAUAAUGUCGCUGAUGCACAAAAGUUUUUAAUUUUGAUAAAAUCCAAAUUAUCAAUUUUUACUUUUGUUGCUCAUGUUUUUGGUGUCAUAUCUAAAAUUCAUAGCCAAAUCUAGGUGAUGAAGAUUUAUUCCUGUUUUCUAAUAAGAAUUGUAUGAUUUUUGAUCCUAUAUCUAGGUUACUGAUCCACUUUUGGGUUUGUUUGGUUUUUGCUGUGUAUGGUGUGAUGUAGAAGUCCCACUUCAUUCUUUGGCUUGGAGAAACCAUUUGUCCCAGCACCAUUUGCUGAAGAGACUGUAUUUCCCCACUGAAUGGAUUUGACACUGAGUUUCUUCUUUUUUCAGUAUUGUUUGUGUUCUCUGGGGCUCCUUGUAAUUCAUAUGAAUUUGAGGAUUGGCUUUUCUGCAAAACAGGCUACUGGAAUUUUAAUAGAGAUUCCAUUGAAUUGGUAGGUCACUUUGGUUAGCAUUGCCAUUUAACAAUAUUAUGUCUGCCAAUCCAGGAACGUGAAAUGUCUUUUCACGUAUUCAGGUAUUCUUUCAUUUCUUUCAGCAAUGUUUUGUAGUUUUCAUUAUACAAUACUUUCACUUCUUUGAGUAAAUUUAUUCUCAGGUAUUAUAUUCAUUUGGAUGCUAUUAUAAAUGAAAUUGUGUUCUUAACUUCCUUUUCAGAGGGUUAGUUUCUGAUGUAUGGAAGCAAAAAUAAUAUUUGUGUGUGAUGUUGAACCCUGCAACUUUGCUGAAUUUGUUUAUUAACUAUAGUAGUUUUGUUUUCUUUUUUGGUUGAUUCUUUGGGAUUUUCUACAUUUAGGAUCCAGUCAUCUGGGAAGAGAUGGUUUUACUUCUUACUUUAAAUUUGGAUGCCUUUUAUUUCUUUUUCUUGGUAAUUGUUUUGGUUUUAUAUCUUCCAGCACAAGGUUGACUAGCAGUGGUGAGAGGAGGCACCUUGUUCUGUUCCUGACCUUAGGGGAAAACAUUUCAGUCUUUCACCGUUGAGUGACGUCACCUGUGAGGUCUUUUCUUUUUAAAUAGACUUUAUUUUUCAGAGCAAAUUAAUAGGUUUAUUAUAUUUAUUAGAUUCACAGACAAAUUGAGUGGAAGAUACAGUCUCCCCCUCCCUCUUAGGUGGGGCAGGGGGGCUAGAGUGAGCUGGAGUUGAGUAUUUCCUUUCCCCCACGUGGAAGGCUAGAGUGGGUGGAAUUUGGGUAUUUCCUUUCUCCCAUGUUGGUUAGGCUCUGAAAAAAAUCCCAAUAGUAUGUGCUCUGGUAAAAUACUUUCUUCUGAGGGCAGGUCUUGUUAAGAACAUAAUGGUCUGGUGUUUCGUUCUUUUUUGCCCUCCCCCUGCUAGAAGCACAAGUGGAUUUUUCUCCACUACUCACUGUGAGGACCUGGUAGAACUCCUGGAGGUAUAAGAAAAGAAAAGUGUGGAUGAUUCACUGUGACUGAUUGAGUCCCCUGGAAUUUUAAGUUCUCAGACAUAACCACACUGAGCCUCCAGCAACUUGUCAAUCACAGUUCUGGUUCCCCUGGAGGUUUCUGCUGAGGAGUUUUGCUCCAGGAAGUUGUAAUUCUCUGUAUUCACCUGUCUCUCUAAUUUUGGGGAUAGCAGUCUUCCCUGGAUGAAUCUUUGAAGGAUCUAAAAGGAGUUCUCACUUUUUGAUGGAUCUAAGAAGAGUUGUUGAUUUUUCAGGUUGUUCAGCUUUUUACUUGUUAAGGCACAUGACAACUUCCAAGCUCUUUAAAUGCUGGGCCAGAAACCCUUAUUUUUUACUAGGUAGAAUUUUUACUGCUACUUCCAAAAAAGACAAAGCAAAAUAAAACAAAAUAAAAACAAAGCAAAACUCUUGUUCUUUCUGCCCUUUUUGCACCAGUGAACACUUAUUUUAUUUUCCAAUGCCCAAGGAGAUGUUUAUUUUAAUUUGUGAAGACUGGUUUAUUUCUCCUGACUAAGACCACUAAAUUGUCUAUAACUCACAAGACCCAAGCCUGUGUUUAUAACAAUUAAAAAAAAUAAAAGUGUAUAUCACCACAAGAUAAUUAAUUGUGUGAUAUAACAGAAAGUAUCAAAGUUUAACUUUCGUAAAAUUAAUAGUAAUCUCAGUUUAUAUUCUGGCAGAUGGUAAUAUACUAGUUGGUCCUAAAUUCAUGCAACUCUUUUAAAAAUCCCAUCACUCUUUUCCCUUCAAGUAAUCUCCUGGGACAGUCCUGCAUAGUUGGUAAAGUGCUCAGUCUGGCCUCCCGGUGUCAUCUCAACCCUCUGCACCUCCUGCUUGACCUCGUACACCCUUGUUCCUCAGUAGAGGCUACAUUUUUUUCUCUCCUUAACAUCCAUCCUGACUCAUCUCUUCUAACCUAGGCUAUCCCUGGGACAGGCCCUGGCAAAAUUCUACUCUUAAGUAUUUUAUAGCCUGCUCAUCAUUCAAAGCACACGUUUUCCAAGAAGAUGUCUUGGGCCAAUCCAAAGAUACAGUUGCCUCUCUGCCAAUAUACACUUAUAUUCUUAAAUUUUUAUAUAUGUUGCAAUUUAUUACCAAAUAUUAAGAUAAGCCUCAUUUGUGUAGAACUGUAGAUAUUCUACGGUGCUUUCCAAUGCAUUUCCUUAUGUAUUUCUCACAAUAAAUCUAGAGUUUGUUUUGGAAUUUCUACUUCAACAGAUGAAGAAAUUGAGUAUCUGAAAGGUGAAAUAAUCCACUUUGGGUGACACAGCUCCUAAAAUUUAAAUAUUUUAUCUAAUGAUUUGACUUCUACAGAUCUUUCUUUCCUGUGUCAUCUUAAUUUUACAAAUGUUAAGACUUACUUCAUGUUCAGUUAGAUAGAUGAAUGUUUCCAUGGAACGUAAGAGGGAACCCAUGAAAUGGCUCUAGCAUUUUAACUAUUUUUCUGUCAUCUAUCACUGGAGCUCAUUCCAACAUUGCCAAAUGUACAAUUGAAUAAGUGAAUUGUUUGUUCCAGAAAUCCCCUGUUAAAUCACUCGACAGAGAACCUUCAUCAAUGUAAUUGUUAUAUUUAGUUGACAGAAAUUAGUUACUAAUUUAGCAAUGAUUUGAGAGACUCAGCUAUAGGACAUGCAUGUUAUGGUAGAGGUGAAGGAAGUCACAUCAGGAUGUGGGGAUGGUACUAUCAGUGGCACCAAAGUGAAGUGUGGUGAAAGUGGCACCCGGACAACAUCAACUUCCGGUUAGUAGAGGGAAAAUAAAUAAAAGGCACAGGAAAGAAUGUUGAAGAUAAUAUAUACAGGUCUUAAAAUUCUGCCUAGGACUAGCCUAGGGUUGGUGCUCAUGCACACACACAAAAAUAUUUUAAGUAUAUCUUUAAUAUAUUUUGUACAUGAUUACUAUAUUAAUAUAUAAUUAAUGGAUACAUUUUAUAUAAGUUUAUAUAUAAUUACAUACCAUAUAUAUUACAUAUUUUUAUAAGAAUUAAAGGGACAGUAUUUACUAUGUGAUAGAAUUGUUAGCAAAUAUUUUGAAAUUAAUAAGGUCAUUAAAAAUUGGAAUUGGAAGAAACUCUAACAAUGUAUUUAUCCUCAUCAUUUUCCAGAGAAGGAAUGAGUAUGCCAAAUUAAGCUAAGUGAAUUUUGUCAAGGUCAGAGGGAGGACAAGAACCAAAGAUUAUUUUAUUGCCUUUUGCAUUCUAUAUGCUAGCCACGUUAAACUCUUCACUGAUGAAUGCUUCAUGCGUUUCACACUUCUCUGUCUUUGCACUUGUCUCACACUCAGAUGGAUGGUCCUCAUGUGGUAUCUAUUUAUCUUUUAAUAUGUAGCUCAGUGUCACCUGCAAAAGUCUUUCUGAGUUCUGUUCUCUCUGCCUGAACGGAGGAUCCCCUUCAAUUUCCGGUUUUGACAAUAUAUGUGUAUUUAUCUAUCUGUCAUCUACCUAUAUUUAUCUAUAUUUGCCUUUAUACUUUUCUGUUCUUCCUUGUGUAGUUGAAUUCUAUGAGAAAUUUAACUGUAUCCUAAUCAUUUUUACAUUGUUAGUGUCUCCUUCAGUGGCUAAUUCACAGUGAGUGCUCAAUAAAUAUUUGUUGAAGGAGCAAUUGAAUGAAUAGCUGCUAGUACUCUUAUUUCAUACACUCUAAUUUUUCUCCUAUUAUUUCUUUUAAAUGACAAAGAGACUUCCCCUUUUAUAAAUUAUGGAAUUUAGGAUAGACUACAUCAUUUUCUCCCUACCUGCCGUAUGUUAAAUAGCACAAUAGAUACAACUAUUUCUCAUAUUGGAUUCAAUAAUCUUUCUCUUGACCAUCUGUUAUUGAAUUAAUUUUAUGGCUACAUUUCAUUGUUUCGUUUUCAAAGUUAUUGUCAUGCUUUCACUUUUAUGCCCAGUAAGGUCUCAAAAAGGGGCAGAUCUAUUUAGAAGGACGUAUCAUACUUUUCAAUUGUCCUACUCCAUUCCUUUAUUCCAAUAGCCAAAUAGCCUGCCACUCUGUCUUUGACAGCUACAAUUCCACAGAAUAUCCCUGGCUUCAUGCAUUAUUUCUUUAGAAGCUUCUGUAAAUUCAGAGCACGUCAGGAGGAUUAGGCGUUUCAGGUUAUUUCAGCUAUUCUGCAUUGAACACAAAACACGUUCAUCAAAUUAAAUGGACAUUGUCAGAGGCAUAAUGGAGCAAUAGGCGGCUAUGCAGAAAAAAAAUAAGGCUAAAAUCUGAUAUGGAAAGAAUAUCUUAUAAAAGUUUGUCUUGCUCAUUUACCAACUAGGAAAGAAAAUGCAGAUAUUUUAUGCCAGCAUAUGACAGCUAUUUUAACUUCCCAAUAUCUCAACUGCUUUAUUCAAACCAAUUUCAUUUGCCUACUCCACAUUUAUUUUUGGUAUUUGAAUAAUAUUCAGCAGUUUUUUGUUGUUGGAAUAUGCUAUAAAUCUACUUGAAUAUUGAGAAAAACUUGUGAUGUGGAAGUGUUUGCCCAUUCUUGUUCAAUGUAUUCUAUUUUAUGAGAUCAUUGUCUAUUUCAGAUUAGAUUUAUGUUGUUUCAUCCAUUCAGAGACAUGAUUUCAGUUUCUAUCCAUUUAUCACUCCAUCUAUUAUUUCUUAAGAAAACGGGCUCGUAAAUAUCUAGAAUUGUAUACAUUUAUUUGGAUUAAAUGAUACAAAAUAUCUAGUGCAUAUGAAUGUCUCUUUUGUCUUUCACACAAGCACAUCUUCCCUUAGGAUCAGAUGAUGUCAUAAGGAUGCCUCUUUAUCCCUAAUUCAAAGGAUCAAGUUAAAUUAGUUGCAAAAAAAAUCCCUAGGCAUUAGUCAGAACACACUGAGUACAUAGGAAUCGCAGGAUCAGAGUUGCGAAGAUUGUGUCUUGAAUCAGAAUGUUAACAGGUGCCACAGGGAAAAUUUUGUGUAUACAAAUCUGAAAUUUUGGGGGCCACUGAUGUAAAUGGUCAAGUAGACAAGUAGGCAGUAUAAUGACAGUAGAGGCCAUAACAAGCAAUAGAUGAGGAAAAUUCUCGAAGUAAAGAGACGAGUCAACAUGGAUACAUAACAUACAUAAAUCAGAAAAAUAGAAAAGGAACUUAUUAUAAAUGCAGAAUGCUGAUGUAUCUAGUGUUUUUUUAACACCUUUUCUUAUAGUGUAAGCCAACUUGGCAUGAGCAAGUAGCCUUAUUCCAAUGCAGCAUAUUUAAAUACGUAGUUUUCUUUACCGGUCUGUUAAGGACCUUGGCCAGAGGACAGAAGGAAGAAGAGACAUAAGAAGGAAAUGUGAAAGUAAUAAAAACUAAAAGGUAAUCUGAGGUGUGUAAGGGAGGCAUCCAAUAUCAGGAGAGAGAAAUCUGAGCGCUUCUGAAUGAAAAAGAUAGAUUUCUAUUUCUAUUUCUAUUUUUUAUUCUAUUGCUGUCUGUCUAUAUUGUCUAUAUGAAGUGGUGGAAAGCAAACAGUUGAAGGAGUGAGUAAGGUAGGUGAGAGGAGGAUAUAAAUGCUCUUUAUGGAGUUGAUAAUAUGCAUUAUUUGAUCAGUGAGGCAUCACAGCUGGGAAUAAUAAUUCAGUUGUGAAAAUUCCUUCUGGUGUCAAGUCACUUAAAAAAAAGAGCUUUUCUGUUAUAUUAAACUCUAAUGCAAAGUCGGUUCAGGUUCAUCCUGCGUCUAUUGGAUCUUCCUUAGAUCUGAACUUUUUAAUCAAUUGGGCAAUAGGGAAAGUAGGUGUAACAGCAGUGAGACGGUUCCCUAGCAGCAGAUGGCUGGCCAUAACUCUGGUCCCAACAGUACAGGAGCAUCAAAUAUUGUCUUCCCUUAACAUCCUUUCAUGAUACAUAUUGUUCUUUCUUUUCCUUUCUCUUAGGUUAGAAUGUGCUUCUCUUACACUGUAGAACUGUUACCUGAGUUUGUUUAAAAUAACGGAUUGGAGCUACCAUGUUAGUAUUGCAAGAAAAUGUCUCUGUACUAUGUUGGCCUCUAAAAAAAGGAACAACCAUUUCACAGGUGAAGAGGCUUAACUUACUUUCCUGAAGAUAAAAAUCUCUUCAAAUCACUGGUCCAACAUAAUCUUGAAAAUACUCUCUGCUAGAACCUAGAGGAUUUGCAUAGACAUAAGUUCUGAAAGCUGGAAGUCUGAGAUCAAGGUGCCAGCAUGGCUGGGUUCUGACAAGAACCAUCUUCCUGGCUUGUGCAUGGCUGCCUUCUCACUGUGUGCUCACAUGGACUCUCCCCCGUGGGUGUCUGGAGAGACAGAGAGAGAGCAAACUCUCCGAUGUCUCUUCUUGCGUGGACACUAAUUGCAUCAGAUCAGAGCUCCACCCAUACAACCUCGCUGAACCUUAAUCACCUCCGUAAAAGCCCUCUCUCUAAUAUAGUCAGAUGAGGGAGAGGUCAGAGCUUCAACAUAGGAAUUUUCUAGGCAGACAAUUCAGUCCAUAGCAAGUAAUCGUCCUACUAUGCGUCACGGAAAGACUGAGAUCACUGAGAAAUCAUCCUGGGUGUCCCUUUGGAGCAGUUCCAUAAUUAGUGACCCCAUUCUAUUACUUCAACAAAUAGUUUCUAUUCCAGGUACUGUUUAGGGGCCAAGUAUAAAUCAUGAACAAAGGAGAACUAACUGUUGCUCUCUUAUAUUUGGUAUGAUACAUACUUAUAAAGAAAAAUUUCCUGAUACGAAAAGAUUGUAGAAUGAGGAAAGUCUUCUCUGAGAAUAUUUAAGUUGAGACUUAGGAUGGAUGGAAAGAUGCUCACAAUGCCUGCUGGACAUCUCAGCAAAUCAGAGGACCAACAAGUUUCUGAGCCAGAGCUUGUGGCUGUGCAGUCUGCAGGAGGGCAACCAGGAGCAGGAGAAGGUGGAGCCGUGCUGGCAGGCAGUCUUCCAACUGCAUGUCGACCUGGAGCUGCCGGCAAGUGUUUGUUUACUGGUGUCUGCUAUGCUCCUGGAGCCCCCUUGCAUGGCAGUCAGGAAUUUUUGGAGGACGCACACACUCAAUCUACAGCAGCUAUCUGUUUGAAACUUCAUCUAACCUAUAUAGGAAAGAAAUACUGAAUUUGAUACAGUUUAGAUUUCCUUAUUUUGGAGAAUGACUUCAUAAUCUUAGAGUAAAUGAUAAACAUCAAACUUUCAGCUGUUGAAGCCAUAUAAUCGUGUGAAAAAAAACUGAAGAAGUGCCAGAGCCUUAUAGCGUUUGCCCAUGGCCCUGAAAUAAAGCAGUUAUAAAAAUAUAUAUAUAGGGGCUGGCCCCGUGGCCGAGUGGUUAAGUUCGCGUGCUCCGCUGCAGGCGGCCCAGUGUUUCGUUGGUUCGAAUCCUGGGCGCGGACAUGGCACUGCUCAUCAGACCACGCUGAGGCAGCGUCCCACAUGCCACAACUAAAAGGACCCACAACGAAGAAUAUACAACUAUGUACUGGGGGGCUUUGGGGAGAAAAAGGAAAAAAAAAUAAAAUAUUAAAAAAAUAUAUAUAUAUAUACAAAAUAUUGAUGA
ensembl:lncRNA